rnacentral:rRNA from 1 species
CCUACGGGAGGCAGCAGUGGGGAAUCUUGCGCAAUGGGCGAAAGCCUGACGCAGCAACGCCGCGUGCGGGAAGAAGGCUCUCGGGUUGUAAACCGCUUUCAGCAGGAACGAAAAUGACGGUACCUGCAGAAGAAGGUGCGGCCAACUACGUGCCAGCAGCCGCGGUGACACGUAGGCACCAAGCGUUGUCCGGAUUUAUUGGGCGUAAAGAGCUCGUAGGCGGUUCGGUAAGUCAGGUGUGAAAACUUUGGGCUUAACCCAAAGCGUGCAUCUGAUACUGCUGUGACUAGAGUUCGGUAGGGGAGUGGGGAAUUCCUAGUGUAGCGGUGAAAUGCGCAGAUAUUAGGAGGAACACCGGUGGCGAAGGCGCCACUCUGGGCCGAAACUGACGCUGAGGAGCGAAAGCGUGGGUAGCAAACAGGAUUAGAUACCCUGGUAGUCCACGCCGUAAACGUUGGGCACUAGGUGUGGGUUUCAACCAACGAAAUCCGCGCCGUCGCUAACGCAUUAAGUGCCCCGCCUGGGGAGUACGGCCGCAAGGUUAAAACUCAAAGGAAUUGACGG